GGCGAUACACUCAAAGACUUUUUCAGUGGACAUUGCUGAUCUAGUUGAAAGUGGGUACUGGCCAGCAACAGUCAAUUUUAAAACCUUGUAUGCAGUGGAUUGGUUCACUAAAUAUGAGGAUCUCAAGAUUGCGGCUCUGGGAAUGUCACGGCAAGCUUUUGUUAGCAUGCCUGAACAUCGCACAAAAGUCUUAGGUCGCAGAUUAAGAUAUGUGGGGAUACCAUGCAGAAUGCAUUACUGGAAUAGACCUAUGCCAAAUUUGAAGUUGAGAGGCUGUCUCAGGUGCAGCAUUCAGUGCCCUGCGUGCACACCCUCCAUGUUGGCUUUUGCAGUGGAUGGGAUCCGUAAACUAUACGGCUUUAAGAGCCAACCAGGGAUUCUGAGGUGUCUUCCUUGGUUGACUACAUCCAUGAGACGACAAAACACGACCAACCAAUCAAAAUGACUUACAGAACGCCAUUGAGGACUCUAUUUGAGCAUUAAGCAGCAAAGAUUUCAGCUGUAUCGUCAGGCUGGCAGUACUGAGGCAUUUACGGAGACGGGACAUGAGGGUCUACUCUGCGUGCUCAAGAGAAGAUUGCACAAAGUUCAAGCUCAGCAGGCUGCAGUGGGUCCGACAUAUUCUGGAACGGCAACAAUGUCUUUGGAUGACUCCUCCUCUGAAGAGGAAAACAUGGAGAGUUACUUCUUCGCUGCUCAAGAACUGCGAGUGCUGUGAUUAGUUCUUCUCAAGUGAAGCUGUACCACUGUGCUCCAGCUCCACACUCCCUCCUGCAGCCUCCGCUCCUGAUGCUAACCUCCUGUCUCCAUCACACCAAGCAGCAAACCUGGAGUGACAGAACUUUCUCCAUAGCUGCCCCCUCCCUCUGAAACCCCCUCUCCCAAACACUAUUUUUGUAUUUUUUUGCAUGAGAAUUGUUGAUCAUAUCAUUUCCAGCAACUGCCUUAAUGUAAUUUUUGUGCAUAAUAAAUGACAUUGAUCAUAA